rnacentral:rRNA from 1 species
GACGAACGCUGGCGGCGUGCCUAAUACAUGCAAGUAGAACGCUGAAGCGAGGAGCUUGCUCUUCUUGGAUGAGUUGCGAACGGGUGAGUAACGCGUAGGUAACCUGCCUUGUAGCGGGGGAUAACUAUUGGAAACGAUAGCUAAUACCGCAUAACAAUGGAUGACACAUGUCAUUUAUUUGAAAGGGGCAAUUGCUCCACUACAAGAUGGACCUGCGUUGUAUUAGCUAGUAGGUGAGGUAACGGCUCACCUAGGCGACGAUACAUAGCCGACCUGAGAGGGUGAUCGGCCACACUGGGACGGAGACACGGCCCAGACUCCUACGGGAGGCAGCAGUAGGGAAUCUUCGGCAAAGGGGGCAACCCUGACCGAGCAACGCCGCGUGAGGGAAGAAGGGUUUCGGAUCGUAAAGCUCCGUUGUAAGUCAAGAACGAGUGGGAGAGUGGAAAGUUCACACUGUGACGGUAGCUUACCAGAAAGGGACGGCUAACUACGUG